rnacentral:lncRNA from 1 species
GUCACCUUGGCUAAGCCACAGUGCCCAGACGUUUGGUCAAAAGUCAGUCAUUCCGGAAGUCUCUGUGAAGUUAUUUUUUAAAUGUGAUUAAUGUUUAAAUCAGGAGAUUUUGAGGAAAGCAGAUUAUACUCCAUGACGUGAGUGAAGCUCACCCAGUCAGUUGAAGGCCUCAAAAGACAACGACCAAGGUCCUGCAGGGAGCAGGGCGUCUGCCUCCAGAUGCCCUCGGAGUGGAACUGCCACAUCCGCUCUUCCCUGGGUCUCCAGCCUGCUGGUCCACCCUGCAGACUCCAGAUUUUCCCGCCCCCACCAUGAUCUGCAUGGAACUCAAUGGAAGGCAUACCCAGAGCUCUUGAACCAAGGAUUUGCUGAUUUUUCAGAGGAAUCUGCUUUCCUCCUCUUCUCUAAUGUUUCUUAUGAGCUCCUUUUCAAAGGCAGGAAGCCUUUUUGAACAACAAAUGACGACCUUUCAACGCAAACAUCUUAGGUAGACAGUCAAAAAGUAAAAGAUUCGGCUGGGGAGCAAGACAAAAUAUAAUAUAAAGAGCUAGCUUGACAGCAGCCCAGAAAGCUGCAUGCGUCCAGCUGAGCUCAGCGCUGGAACAUCCCUCUUCUCUGCUCCCUCGACGUUAAAUUCACCGCAGCAGAAGAGAACCGACGCACCACAAGGACUAGCGGAACGGAAAGGCGCUGACAGCAGAUACGAGGGAUUAAUGUGUUUCUGGACGAUGGAACCCAGAGAGAGAACAACUGACACAGAAAAACAGACAACGGCGAGAGCUAAGUGCCUGCAGGUGGAGGAGGCAACAAAGCCAGGCGAG